AGGGAGGUGAACAAGAACUCAAUGAUCCCUCUGACAGAACUACAGCUGAGAUGUAGCUAACCUGUACUUGGCUGAUGGGCUAACCUGCCAGAAGGACAACAGUCUCUACAGCACUUUACCAAUCUGGGCUUUAUGGGAGAGUGGCCACUCCCGAGCUGAGAAAAAGGCACAUGACCACAUGUGAUGGGUUUGCAAAAAGAUUCUGUGGUCUGAUGAGACAAAUGUAACUCUUUGGUCUGAAUGCAAAGCUCUACAUCUGGAAGAGGCACAGCUCAUCAUACCAUCCCUCCCGUGAAGCAUGGUGGUGGUGGCAUCAUGCUAUGGGGAUGCUUUUCAGCGGCAUGGACUGGGAGACUGGUAAGGAUAGAAGGAACAACGAAUGGAGCCAAACAAAUGCAUAUCCUUGAUGAGAACCUGCAUCAGUGCAAAUGACAUUUGACUAGGGUGAAGAUUUACAUUCCAACAGGACAGUGACCCCAAGCAUUACAGCCAAAGCAACAAUGGAAUGGCUUCAGAACAAGAAUGUGAAAGUCCUUGAAUGGCCCAGUCAAAGCCCGGCCUUUAAUCCCAUUAAAUAUGUUGAAAGACUUGAAGAUUGCUGUUCAACACCACGCCCCAUCUAAUUUAGCAGAGCUUGAGAACGUCUGCAAGAAAGAAUGGGAGAAAAUCCCCAAAUCCAGAUGUGCAAAGCUGAUCCAGACAUACCCAAGAAGACUCAAAGCUGUAAUCACCACCAAAGGUGCUUCUACAAAGCAUUGACUCAGGGGUGUGGAUACUUAUGUACACGAGAUAUUUCACUUUCAAUACAUUUAUAAACAUUUUCACUUUGUCAUUAUGGGGUAUCUAGAUGGGUGACGGGAAAAAAAGAUUCAUUUAAUUCAGGAUGUAACAACAAUGUAGAAUAAAUCAAAGGGUUCGAAUACAUUCUGAAGGCACUGUACAUAUUCCAAACACUGUGCUAGAAAGAGAUAUUCACACAAAUAUAUGCACGCUUAGUAAUUGUAUUAAAUGUUAAAUUACAACCUUUUCAGGUUGUUUCGCGAAACCAUUCUAUGCAAAGAAAACAAGCGUUGCCAGUUGACAUUAGCUAGCGGCUCACUAACGUUUGGUGGGGACAGGCGCGGUGUGUUGCUUGACACAACACGUGCGGCGGCGGGGGAACAAAACAAUAACAAAGCGGAGGUCAGAAUAUAGUCACAUUUACGUAAGCUAGCAGUUCUAUCUCGACAUAAAAUGUAAAAUACUACCCAUCUUACAUUCGUGGGAGCUGCAGAGGUGGAGCCCCUCGUCUCUGGAACACCCCAUCCACAAACACCCCGUUUUUGCCGAGGCAUCGGAGGUAGAAUUCCCCGCUACCGGUGCCGUCUUCACCAGCGGUGAAAAUUUCGAGGUGCCGGCGAGAGAUGAAACUGGAGUGGCCCAUGCUAACGUCCACCGAGCCCUGCGAUGAGUUCCGUCCGAUGGUCGCCGACCUCUUCUUCAUCAGGAACGUGCCAGAUCGGGGACACAGCGGCUCCAACCCACCGCCGCGACAGAGAGAAAGAGAAGGGACAACAGCCAACCAAAGGAGGCCAAAUGGGCGGAAAGGAGGUUACUGAUGGCUCAACGAUCCAAUCACUUCAAAGAUUGGACUCUCAUCACCAGUCCACACCCCCAUCUCUCUCCAAUCCCCAGAAGUAAGUCACUUGGGCAGAAAGUCAUCCACAGCAACCUCCAGGUUGCCUACGUACCAGAAGAUCCAGAAGAACAGGCUGAGGAAGAUGAUGAUGGGCCCAGAGAAGACCAAAAAGUCCCAGAAGCUGAAGGGUGCAAAGAUGCCCAGGAAGAACAGGAUGAGGCCCACAACAUCCAGGAAGAUGGCGAUGAAGAAGAAGAGAAGGCAGCGGCCCAGGUACUGAGUGUAGCCCAUGGUGGAGAGAGUGUCUGUCGUGAAGGUAUUUAUCCCCCUCCUACCAUGUAAAUACCACUUCUAAUGAUUCUAUGGCUGCUAGCUAUUUCCCUUGCAUUCACUGUAACAAGAUCAUUUCAAUGUUUACACUAGGAUAACUACUCAUACAUAUAUCCCUGUACUUUCUCUGCAUUGUUCGGGUAAUCUACCCUACAGUGCAUCUGACUGAAUGAGGAAGCAAGGAAGAUGUGUUUUAUAAAAAGGCCCGUGUAGGCUACAUUCCAGUGAGCUUGAUCUAUCACACUUCACAUCUCACAUAGUUCCCAUAGCGGGACUGCUGCCAGGGGGAACAUGUGCGUUAGUCUCACUAAUGAUGACAAAAAGGUUCAAAUGUUCUUCUUCCAUCUCUGUUGUGGGGGUUUUGGACACGUUUCCAGUUCAUAAACAUACCACAUUCCAACACUAGGGGUUGGUUGGGCAUCGUAUGCCCUACAGGUGGCUUCAAAGGUUGGAGAAUAUGAAUGUUUGAUAGACAUGAGAAACAUCUUUGCUAACUAACACUCCAAUAACUAACAGUGUUCAUUUCAUUAAAUGUUUUAUUUUUAAUUAGGUAACAAGCCAGUAACCGAAAGGUUGCAGGAUCGAAUCCCCAAACUGACAAGGUAAAAAAAAAAAUCUGUCGUUCUGCCCCUGAACAAGGCAGUUAACCCGCUGUUCCUAGGCAGUCAUUGUAAAUAAGAAUGUUCUUAACUGACUUGCCUAGUUAAAAGGUUACAUUAAAUAUGGAAUGGAGAUGCAGUCGUUGUGCCAGUGUGUAUUCCGCAAGGUUCAGAAUGUUCCAGAAAAUAUAGUUCUACACAAUACAUUCUCUACCGUCUCUCUCGCUCUGUGUGUGUGUAGGGAUCUAUCAGUAUAACCAGUGGCAGACAGCCAGCACAGUGCUAUCAACACACUUGCUCUUACCAACCCCAAACAGAACAGACAGAUAGCAUAUCAAUACUACCUACCUAACCAGAUACAAACAUACACUAUACAUUAAUAAAUCAUAGGAUCUGAGCUUUGGAAGAUGUGUUUUGAUUUGUUUAUGUCCCUCAUGGAUUUAAGUAUAAUGUUUUUGAUGUGUAACUGUGAGCUAUCCAGUCAAUGAUGUCUGAUUAACAACUCAGAGAUAUGACGUUAGAAAAAAAGAAAAUAAACUUUAUUUAAGGAAAAUAUCUUCAAAAUGAACCAUGUAAAAUUCAGGACAUAACAUUUUUAGUUAUUUAGCUAAUUACAAGUAAAAUUCUGCCAUUUCUAUCCUCAGUGCAGGGGCUCGGACAUUGUGUCAGACGGCCUCUUCCUGAACAAAAAUAGUAUUCUCUAUUGAAAAAGUGUCUUUGGUUCAUAUAGGCUAAAAAGGUAUUCAGUCGGUUGGGAUUUGAAAAGCAGGGCUUGGAGUAGGCAUACGUUUUUCAAACUGGAGAAUCCGAGAACACCUGCAACAGAGGAAAAAUGAGUGAGAAGGAGAACACCAAGAUUACAAAAACAUGUGAGAAAAUGUUUGACACAUUUUCUUUAUUUCCUAGUAUUGCGUUACUUCCACAACAUCCUGUGUUGUUAUGCAAUGUGCUGCAAACUAAUUUCCCUUCUGAGACAAUAACGAUUUAUUCAUUCAAAUGUUUUAGUCCCUAGAACAUGACGUUAUACCACAUGGGCGGAGGGCAUUUGUAUUAAUGAGCCUGCUAUAGCAAGGAAAACCACAUGAUUUGAAUCAUCUGGUCUUUUGCAGAGAGAGAAUCACAGCAAACCAUUAAAUCAAGCUUUAUUUAUACAGCACAUUUCAGACAUGGAAUGCAACACAAUGUGCUUCACAUGAGAAAAAACAAACCAAUAAAAACAAAAGCUGAAAUAUUUACUACACAACAAACAAGAUUCAAAAAACAACAAGUAAAGAAUGACAAACUGAAUGACUAAAAAGCACCCUAAGAAACAGUAAAGCUAAAAAGAUGACCAGUGUCGGCCCCCUUCAGAUUCACUGGCAGGCGUUUCCAGACGCUGGGGGCAUAAUAACUCAAAUGCUGCGAAAAUCCUCUGGUGACACAAAUGUAAUGUUGUAUAUCGUUUCCGUUGCAGUGAAAAUUAAUGUUGUGCUUUCUGAUAAUGCUGCCAAGGGGUAACAUAUACUGAACCAAAUACAAAAUAUAAACAUGUAAAGUGUUGGUCCCAUGUUUCAUGAGCUGAAAUAAAAGGUCACAGAAAUGUUCCCAAAAAA